rnacentral:sRNA from 1 species
GCUGGGCAUGAUGGCUCAUGCCUGUAAUCUCAGCACUUUGGGAGGCUGAGGUGGGAGGAUCACCUGAGGUCAGGAGUUCGAGACCAGCCUGGCCAACAUGGUGAAACCCCGUCUCUA